GGGAGCUUAGCUCGCCUGGUUCAGAGCAUCUGCCUUACAAGCAGAGGGUCGGGGUUCGAACCCCUCAGCUCCCA
rnacentral:tRNA from 1 species